UCACGAAGUCGAGGCCAUAGCAGAAGCACUCACGGCGUGGCCCUGUCAGGUCCCGAUGAAUCCGCAAAUUCUGCU
rnacentral:ribozyme from 1 species